AUGACAAGUCAAUCUUGGGUGGCUGACAAGGCAGCAACUAUGCUUAAGAAAGAUCCAACCAUUGGUGCUGUGAAGAUACUUAAAGAGUUACAGGAAGAGCAUCAUGUCACACUUGACUAUCACACAGUGUGGAAAGGCAAACAAAAGGCAGCAACCAGCUUGUAUGGGAGCUGGGAAGAAAGUAUCAGGAUGUUGUACAACUACAAGGCCGAGAUAGAAUUGAGGUCUCCAAGGAGUAUUGUAGAGAUUGAUACAACCACAAGUGAAGGUGAAGUACAUUUCAGCAAGCUAUUUAUUCCUUUCAAGCCAUGCAUAGAUGGGUUCCUGAAUGGAUGUAGGCCAUAUAUCAGCAUAGACUCUACUCACUUAAAUGGCAAGUGGAAAGGUCAGCUAGCUGUAGUCACUGCUUUGGACGGUCACAAUUGGAUGUUCCCGGUGGCGUAUGGCUUUAUUGAGUCUGAAAAUGAAGAUAAUUGGGCUUGGUUCAUGAAUCAAGUGAAGAAGGCAAUAGGGGACCCUCCAGUACUGGCUGUUUGUACGGAUGCUUGCAAGGGUCUUGAAAAUGCUGUUAAAAAGGUUUUCCCUCAAGCUGAGCAGCGUGAGUGCUUUAGGCAUAUGUGGCAUAAUUUUCAGAAAUAUUUUCAUGGUGAUGUGUUUGGACGGUUGUGGCCUGCUGCUAGGAAACAGCAGCAGGUUGAAGGAGGCAUUGGCAUCGGGCGCGCGAUGGAUCAGACACCGCCGGCCUCUGUCUGGUGGGUUGCGUGA
rnacentral:rRNA from 1 species